rnacentral:rRNA from 1 species
GACGAACGCUGGCGGCGUGCUUAACACAUGCAAGUCGUACGGUAAGGCCCUUUCGGGGGUCCACGAGUGGCGAACGGGUGAGUAACACGUGAGUAACCUGCCCACAACUUUGGGAUAACGCUAGGAAACUGGUGCUAAUUCUGGUUAUGUGCUCCUGCUGCUUGGUGGGGGUUGGAAAGCUCCGGGGGUUGUGGAUGGACUCGCGGCCUAUCAGCUUGUUGGUGGGGUAGUUGCCUACCAAGGCGGCGACGGGUAGCCGGACUGAGGGGGUGACCGGCCACAUUGGGACUGAGAUACGGCCCAGACGCCUACGGGAGGCAGCAGUGGGGAAUAUUGCACAAGGGGCGCAAGCCUGAUGCAGCAACGCCGCGUGCGGGAUAACGGCCUUCGGGUUGUAAACCGCUUUCAGCAGGGACGAAGCUUUUUGUGACGGUACCUGCAGAAGAAGCACCGGCUAACUACGUG